GGCGGUGAGUACGUGAGGAGCCGCACAGCAGCGCGAGGAGGCGGCGGGGGGGGGGGGGCUGCGGCCGCCCUGCGCCAAUGGGGCGGGAAGGGACCGCCCCCCCCCCCCCCAGGCCUGUGGCGGCCUCAUGGCGGCCGGGCAGUUUCCCCCCCAGAAGACAGAGCAGUACCACGCUACUACGGCAACCUAAUUUUGGACAGAGGGUGGGGGACAUGCUCCUGCCAGGGGACCUGACUCGGCUGCAGUUUUCCCCUUCACCUGCCAAGGCCACAGGGAUGCCGCAAGUGUGAAUCUCCGCAUCGUACCAAAAACCUCUCUCUUUUGGUUCAUCGGGGUUAUAGUUGACCAUUACCACCUGUCCUACUUCUAGCUG